UACGGAGGAUGCGAGCGUUAUCCGGAUUCAUUGGGUCUAAAGGGUGCGCAGGCGGCCGGCCAAGUCAGCGGUGAAAGUCAGGGGCCCAACCCCGGAAGUGCCGUUGAUACUGGUUGGCUGAAUGCGGUCGAGGAGGGCGGAAUGUGGCGUGUAGCGGUGAAAUGCGUAGAUAUGCCACAGAACGCCGAUAGCGGAGGCAGCUCGCCAGGCCUGCAUUGACGCUCGGGCACGAAAGCGUGGGGAUCGAACA
rnacentral:rRNA from 1 species